rnacentral:rRNA from 1 species
GACGAACGCUGGCGGCGUGCUUAACACAUGCAAGUCGAACGGAAAGGCCCUGCUUGCAGGGUGCUCGAGUGGCGAACGGGUGAGUAACACGUGGGUGAUCUGCCCCUUACUUUGGGAUAAGCCUGGGAAACUGGGUCUAAUACUGGAUAGGACCAUGCUGUAGGUGGUGUGGUGGAAAGAUUUUUUCGGUAAGGGAUGAGCUCGCGGCCUAUCAGCUUGUUGGUGGGGUAAUGGCCUACCAAGGCGUCGACGGGUAGCCGGCCUGAGAGGGUGGACGGCCACAUUGGGACUGAGAUACGGCCCAGACUCCUACGGGAGGCAGCAGUGGGGAAUAUUGCACAAUGGGCGCAAGCCUGAUGCAGCGACGCCGCGUGGGGGAUGACGGCCUUCGGGCUGUAAACUCCUUUCAGCCAUGACGAAGCCUCUUUUGGGGUGACGGUAGUGGUAGAAGAAGCACCGGCUAACUACGUG